CUGCUUCUUACUCACUGAUCAGACUUCUGCCCUCACUGCUGUUUUUGAAUAUGCUCUGCCAGCUCUUAGCUCGCAUGGGCGGGUUUUUUCAGGGGUGUAUGGUUUGAUUUUAUUGACAGAAACUUCAGUCCAUAAGGAAAGAUACUGGAUGGACCACCAGACAUCCUACAGAAUUUGUUUAAGUUGCAAUUCUUAACAUUCAACUAGCUCAUAGCUUAAACUUACCUGGACACAUCUGUAAUUGAUGCAGAUUGCUAGUGAUUUUAAUAUUGUUAAAAAAAAAAUGAUGUAUGAUGCAUAUGAUAUAUUGAAAAACAUAAAAACUACUGGAUAGCCGGAACCGCGCUUUGUUUACAAAACCGUCCUGAAGAGGGCAUAUGCCACAUUUCAGAUAAUGUUGGCCCCAGGAGGCUAGAUGAUCUUCCACUCUGUGGAAAAUCUUUUAAGGGUAUUUAAUAACAUGCAAAUAAUGUAAAAUCUUUUUAAAAGUUGUCACAUAUUGCCUGGUAUGCAGAAACCCUGUUUACUUGCCCUUUCCAAAGUUUGUGGUUGAACACCUUUGAUGAUUUGAGCUGGAAACCUAAAGCAGCUUUUAUCUGUGACUCGAAUAGGCCUACGCCAAAGACAAAUGGAUUUGGCCUUUUUCCUUUCUUUUUCUAUUCAAAGCCACCUUCUCCAAUGCUCUGAGUAGAAGGCCUUUACCCUAUUCUACCUGGAAGUCAAUGUAAACACUUCCCAGUACUGUCAAUAUCAACUAGAAGGUGGGUGUAACAUGAAGGUUAAUAUUUGGCUACUUUUUAGGUAGCCUCUUGAGACCAUCCAGAUAAGCAUGCAUUUCACAAUUUAUAUCAGUUUGGCCUUGACUGGGUGGUAGUAGGGCACUCUUAAUGAGAAACACAUGUUGUGUUUCUUUUUGCAAACAAUUAUAUGGGAGUGUGUGGGGAAAUGUUUCUUUGAAAAGACUUGAAUAACAGCAGUUAGCAAACUGAAGGGCUGACUACUCAGCUGUUUUGAUUUCCACAUACGGGAGUUGCCUUACAUUAUACUUGUGAAGCUCUUGCGCCUUCACUUCUGUUAAAUCCGAUUGGACGUGUGCUUGGACAUCUUCUCUGGGAAAGACCUUGCUUACAGAUUUUAUGUUUAUAUUUUAACAUCGUUAUUGAGUUAAACAGUUUUCAUUGCUCUGCACUUUUACUGGUAACCGCCAGUGGUGUCACUAGGCUGUUUCAUUUUUUUUUUUUUUUUGCUUGCUUUACACUAGAAACAAACAUGGGGAUUGCGGCGGCAUCUCAAAAUAAAGUAACCUAGUCCUUCUAGAAUCUAGAUAGUCCUUCUGUCAAGAGAAUAAAUGGUUUAAAAACAUAACCAGACUGUUUACCCCCUCAAGUGAAUUAUCUAUCCUAUUAUAUAUAUACAUACAUACAUACAUACAUACAUACAUACAUACAUACAUACAUACAUACAUACAUACAUACAUACAUACAUACAUACAUACAUACAUACAUACAUACAUACAUCCAUACACAUAUAUAUAUGUAAGGACUGUCUCACUUGUAUUCACUUUACUCUGAAAUAACUUGAAUGGAACUUUAGGAUCCCGGGGAUAAGCAGCCCAGCAGUCAGGUAGCUAUUUAAAGCUACAAUAAACUGUGUAUUUUGUUUAUUUAGGUAAAGCAUACGCUACACGCGUAUUUUCCCUUUCCCUCUGGGCUAAGCCCCGGAUAUUUCAGAAACACCCCUGGUUACCGCAAUUGUUGUUUUAACUCUCCAGACUGAGGCACUCAUUUUUCAACUUAAACAUGAUGGUCUCAAAAGGCUAGAUUUGAAUGUGCAUUAAUUCAUUUCAAAAUAGCAGAUGUCAGUUGCAAAGGGUGUGGUUGAGGAAUUUAAAGAAAAAUAAAUCGGAGAAGGUUCAUCAGAUUAUCAUCUUUUAGACCUAAUAUAAUAAUAAAACCAUCAAUACAUGCCAUUUCACCUGCAGACCUUUCAACAAAAAAAUGCUCUCAUCCAUUUCUCAGUAUUAGUAUCAUUAUAUUAUUAAACCAUGUAAUGUAAUGGCAUAAAUACAAUGUGGAAAGUGUAAAAAUGAAAACGGCAAAAAAGGAGGAUACUUGGGUUCACUUGAAAUUAAAUACAGGUACAACUAAACCAACCGCUGGACCGUAUGAGUAUUACAUGGUAAAAUAGCAGAAUAUUGGGAAAGGAUGUGUCUUAGCGAUUAAGGACAGUUAAAAGGGGACUCAAAGAGUUCAAAGGCAAUGCUCCCGUUUUUUUGCACUCAUUAGGGUCAAAGAAAUGUACAUUUCCUCUUUUCGCAGCAAUCAUCACAAUCAAAACACGACCACUGCUAAGUGUGUCAACUGCUCAAGCCACCGGAGGCGUCAACAAGAGAGGUGCAACUAGUCACAGGAAUAAAGCAGAGAGGCUACAAGACACAUGUACAUAUAAACAGAUGUAUAUAUUACAAUCGCAAUGAAUAGGGCUCCCCUCCAAUACUAUUCACAAUAACUGACUGGAGGAAGGAGGGGUUGUAGAAAAAAUGAAAAUCAUAUUCACACACACACACACAUACACUCUCACACUCAUACUCUAACCAGAUAUUUCAGUUGAUUAAAAUCUGCCCGAUUAUUUUUUGUAUGUUGCGUGUUUUGUUUUUCUUCAAGAGCAAAGAGGAUCAUUAGAGUUUGGGUGCACAGAGCUUCAUAUUAACGGAGGAACUUCCGCAGAUUCGGAGUUUGCGGUUCAAUAGAUCAUCAGUGAAACAUCGUUGCGACACAAUUGUCACUCUCUCCAACAAUCUUUUUAAUUUUUUUUGUACUCCCUUUUAUUAUCCCUCCUCAGCGCUGCGAAACCUGUGUACUCAGUCUGGAUAAUUUGUUCUCCUAGUGGCAUUUAAAGUCUUUGAGUCCAAAUAUAAUUGAUUGUAAGGUGUAAAAUAUCAAGACCAAAAAGUAAUCAUAAUCUCAUCAUCAUCAUCAAAACAGUACUAUGACUAAUAAGAAACCUGAACUAGGGCUAAGGACAAGUCCAAGUCAGUAAGGGGGUAUCGCAAAUCCUCAAGACGUAACCAUAGCGAAACUAUUGGCUACUCGUUUUAUUUAAUUCAUUUUUGUUGUAUUGGCUCAAGAUCACACUCGACUACAUAUAGGGAAAGCAAUUAAGAAUGUAUUGUUUGCUGCUCCCCUUAUCAGCUGGAGCCUAUACUUGGCUAAGCUUGAUUGCUGUUGGACCUAAUCCUUUCAGGCUGUUGUGAUGUAGGAGAAACAUUUUACCGUAACUACCAUUUAGUAAUCAUUUAUUCAACAUAACUUCAUCUUGGAUCAUCAAGUUAUCGUCAGUGAACCCCUUGUUGUCCACAACCAGCUUCAGGCAUCUUGGGCAGAACUGUGCCAACAAGCAGCAGGCUAAAUAAAGCUUAAGGGACAGAGAGCCGUGCUUCCAACCAUAGGACUAGGAAUCUUUAUUCCCAGGAACUGCUUUUCAAGGAACUGAGUACUGGGAUAAGCACUGGACAACAUGCUGCCAGGGGAAUGUCUUUGCCAAUCUUAAACUUAAUGUGAUCCAAAGCUUGUUUGGUUUAGGCAAAUUGUGAAUUCAAUAUGCUUAUUAGCCAUGUGCAUACUGAACCAUUAUGAGCUACACCACAACGGCAUUUCAUUUCAUGUCACUGAAAAUAAAGUUUCUGGAAAACUCCUUCCAGGGUGAUUUUUUUAAAAAACAGUUCUUUCUAGUCGUAUGGACAAAUACCACAUGUUUUCAGAUGUACCAAUGUACAUGGGGAAGAGGCCCGAGUCUCAAGUCCUUAGCUGGCUAAUUAAUGUUUUGAGGAGAAGGAAUACUGCGAAACCCCUCAAAAAUAAAGAGAGCAAGAGAGAGUGAUCUACUGGUUAGUACAAGCUAUCAAUUAGUAUUUACUCAUCCAUACUUGCAAUGUGGUAUAAAUGGUGUAUUAUAACCCUGCAUGGCAGAGAGAACUUAACCCAUACUGGUUUGUGUUUAAAUGUAUGUAUACUUCAUACACACACUAUUUAUAUACUGUGUGGGUGCAUGUGUGUUUGGAUGGGGAACCAUGCAGCUAGACAGUUGUGUAUAGUCUAUAUCUCAUCAUACCCUUUGAAACUGCUUUUAGUCCCUUUCUCUCUGAGAUGGCAGUUCCGUAAAGUCUGUCCUCCACAGCAAAAGUGAGAAUGUGUGAGAGAAGCGAGAGAAAAAUCUCCCUCCAAAAAAAAAAAGAUUAUUCUCCUUUAUCUUCUUCCAUAGUGUGGAUCCGGACUUCACCUCCACUGACAACCAAAGAACCCACAGCCAUCACUACUGAUACGACACAGGAGAAAACAUUUCACACUUUGCCACGGAAAAAAAUUAAAAAUAAAUACGGCAGUCAUAAAUAAAUCCUCCAGGGUACCACACCACCU
ensembl:lncRNA